rnacentral:misc_RNA from 1 species
GUAGGUGAACCUGCGGAAGGAUCAUUAACGAGUUAGGGUCUCCUAGGCCCGAACCUCCCAACCCUUUGUUUAUCAAACCUAUGUUGCUUCGGCGGACCCGUCUUCACUGACCGCCGGAGGAUCGCCGCUGAGGCGUCUUCUGGCCAGCGUUCGCCGAUAGCCCGAUCAAAACUCCGAACAAUCGUGUCACAUGUCUAAGUAAUUUAUUAAAUUAAAGCAAAACUUUCAACAACGGAUCUCUUGGUUCUGG